rnacentral:lncRNA from 1 species
CAAAAUCCGUACGGCAGCUGUAUUCGUCGUGUUCAAGUGGCGUACAUGAGCGACAUCCCGCGACAUACAUACAUACAUCCAUACAUACAUGUACAUACACAAGCAUGCAUACAGCCACACACACAGCCACACACACAGCCGCACACAGCCACGGUUUCAGGAUGAGGAGGAAGAUGCGCACUAAGGGAUGUCGUACAGAAAACAACUCCACCUCCAAACAAAAGUCUUUGACAAAAAAGCAAUGUCAAAUACAAAUUAAU